UAGUGCCUGUGUCCUCAGUGGCGGGUCAGGGCUGCCUGUUUCAGAACAGGUCCCAGGGGCUGGGCUCAUUAAAUCUUAGCAUUCAUUUGCCUGUCUGCUAUCAGCAUCUCACAGGCCUUGAGAGGCACAAAUAGUAGAGCUUGAGGUCAUCUGGUCUCCAUAGAGAGUUGUAGGCUAGCAGGCCUGAAACCCUCUUCAUCUUACACUAGUAAAGUGAGGACUGUUUGUAUAGUUACUUGUCAGCCCUUUCCUGGGGGACAGAGGGCUCCAGUGCUUUGUUCUUUCACACACUGCACGUGCUUAUUAGAUGACUGUCUCGAAUAUUUGUUCCUGCAUUUGUGAUGCUUGCAUAAAUGUGUGUGUGUGUGUGUUCACAGCAUACAUGUGAGAGUUGGUUCUCUCCUUCCACCAGAUGGGCACUGGGGAUUGAACUCAGGUUGUUAGGUUUGGUGACCUGUGGCUCUGACUCUGCCUGUUAUUUUACCAGGUCUGUGGUCUGAUACCCCCCCCCCCCACAAACACACACAUAAACUUAGACUCAGGCAAAGUAGUCUAAGGUUAGAAACUAGCAUUCUCUAGUGUCCGCCUAUACCGAGUGGCCGAGCUCUGCCGUUGCUAGACACAUGAUAAAGAUCUAUCUGUACAUUGUCAUUGAGUUAGGUCAGGACGAGUUGUUGCCCUGCUGAAGUUUCCACUCUGCAGUGUGCAGCUGAAGCUGUGCUCUUUGGUGCUUAGGAAGUCUAGUGUGCUGAUAUCUGUCUUGGCAGGUGAUGGUGGCUCUGCCCAUCUGUUUUGGUCUAUAGUAGGGCGUUUCCCGUUUAAAAUAGGGACAGUGAUCCUCCCUCCCAAAAGGAUUGAUGUGAUGCUUGCAAAGUAAUUUGGGUUCCCCCAAAUAGGCACUUAAACAAAUAAACAAACACACUCAUUAUAUUUAUCCAGUAGAGAACAAUAUUAAUAAUGGAUUAUAUUAUUUCCUUGAGCUUAUUGAUGUUUUUAAUAAGGAGGAAAGGGUAUAUAAAACUAUGAAUUUUCAUAGCUAAAGCUAUGAAAUGCAGUGCAGUAUUUUGCAUAAUAUAUAAAAUAUGAAAGCCUUCCAUUUUUAAAUUUUUUAUUUUGUUUGUGUGUGCAUAUACAUGCAUAUGUGCACAUGUGCCACUGUGGUGGGCAUGUGGAGGUCAGAGGACAGCUUACAGUGAGCGGUUUGUUCUCUUCUUCCUUCACUGUGUGAGUCCUGAAGGUCAGACUCCAGUCAGGCGUGGUGGAUGGCCAGUGUUUUACCCUCCGCCAUCUGGCCAGUCCUCCUUUAUUUCUUCUGAAGAACGCCUUCGUUUUACCCUGCAUCCAGGCUUACUGCUAAGUGACCGCACAUUGCAGUGGCCAGGUCUCCUGUUCUUCUUAUCCUCUCCUGACCUCUGCUGGUGAGAUCCAGGCAUGGGUGACUCCCAGCAGCAUUUACUCACACGUCCUUACUGUAGGACAUGGGAGGACCAAAAUGUGUACUACUGUCAUGCUUUGCACACUAUGGAGCACCUCAGAUGUUGGAGUUUCUCCUCAGUGGACAGUUGUCACAGACCUGCUACUUAGUAGCAGAUUGAGUGCCCAGCUGAAUUUCUUGAUUAAUUAUUUAUUUACAUCCCAAAUGCUGCCCCAUCCCCUUCCCCCCUUCCCCUUUACUUCUGAGAGGGUGGCCCCUGGUUUAUUUCCCCACCCUGGGGCAUCAAGUCUCUGGGUUAGGCACAUCCUUCCCCACUGACACAGGACAAGGCAGUCCUCUGCUACAUGUGUAGUACUAGGGGCCUCAGUCCAGCCUGGGUAUGGUUGGUGGCUUAGUCUCGUAGAGCUCCCUUAGAUCCGGGUUAGUUGACUCUGUUGGGGUUCCUAUCCCUUUCAGGGUCUUCAAUCCUCCGUUUUCCCAAGGGUCCCUGACCUCUGUCCUAUGUGUGGCUGUGGGUCUCUGCAUCUGUUUCAGUCAGCUGCUGGGUGGAGCCUCUCAGAGGGCAUUAUGCUAGGUUUCUGUCUGUAAGCAUAACAGAAUAUCAUUAAUAGUAUCAGGGAUUGCUGCUUGCCCAUGGGAUGGGUCUCAAGUUGGGGCAGUUAAAUGGUUGGCCAUUCCUUCUGUUUCUCCUUCAUCUUUGUCCUUGCAUUUCUUUUAGACAGGACAAAUUUUGGGUUGAAAUUUUUAUGGGUGAGUGGGGUCCUGCCUGGCUACAGGAGGUGGCCUCUUCAGGUUCCGUGUCUGCACUGUUAGGCAUCUUGAGGCCAAAUCAAAGGUUCACACGACUGUUUGGGGAGCUGGAGCAGCUCACAAAAGUGCCGCACUUACUAGAUCCAUUUACUAAAAACAGUCCUCUGAGGAGCAGCCAAAUGGAAUACAUGUGCAUGGGGUUGGAACCAAGGGACAGAGGUUCCUUGCCCUCCUUGAGUAUGAGAAUCUCUUGAGCACUUCAGGUGAUCACCAACCGGGAAGUUGCUCAACUCCACAGCAGAGGACUAUUAAUGGAGGGUCUAUAACUUAGCUAUGGUCAGUGUGUGAGACCUGAGUGCAGUCUUCAGCGUCAUCAUAGACCACUCACAGCAGAGAUGAACCCUGAGACUCCAGUCACUUUCGCCUUUUUUAUUCAGAUUCAGACCCCAGCCAACCCCAGUUAAUGUAAUCCAGAACUCCCUCACAAUUAUGCUCUGAGCUUUGUCUGUAGUGCUCAACUAACAUAGAAGUCUAAACUACACUAGAGAUUAUCCAAGCUAUAAUUUCUUUCCUUUUUCUUUUUUAAAAAAGAAUUAUUUAUUAAUUUUAUGAAUAUGAGCACACUGUAGCUGUCUUUAGAUGCACCAGAAAAAGGCAUCAGAUCCCAUUACAGAUGGUUGUAAGCCACCAUGUGGUUGCUGGGAAUUGAACUCGGAACCUCUGGAAGCCAGUGCUCUUAACCACUGAGCCAUCUCUCCAGCCCUGGUAUAUUUUCUUAUAUGUAUAGAAGAAAGAAAAUCAUGCUUAAUGGUUCUGAAAAUGGUGUGUAUAUGUCUUAUUCUUUCAGGAUACAUAACAUUUAAACUAAUUUAUGGCAAACAUUAAUAUACAAAAUGUAUCUUAGAAAAGAAUGACUACUUCCUGAAGUGAUUUAUUGGUAAUUCAUAGUAGUAAAAGUGGAAGUCAGAGGGCCGCCUGGCUGAGUGUGUGACCCUUUUUGCUGGCUUGUGGAUUUGGAUGUUUGCUGUUGGUAGAGAAGGGGCUUCUGCUUCAGGGGGUCAGAGGACGAUGAGGAACAACAACAACACAGCGAAUGGUGACACAGAACAGUCUCUGGCUCUUUACAGUUUGGCCUUCUCUAAAGUCACAUUAGUAAAACAUUAAUUAGAUUUCAGUGCCCCACUGAGUUGUAAAAUUAAACGUAUUUCUGGACCUGUCUGCAUCAUUUCAUUACUGAUAAUGCAAUAAGGGCUGUUUAGCCUUUUGAAAAAGGGAAUUAACAUCUUUUGCUCACAAGUGAUUUUUUUUUAAUUACAAAAACUUAUAAAAACUUUAAAGAGUUAGAAAGUAAUUACAGAGUUUUAUGACUAUACCUAAAGGUAAGUUCCAUAAAAAACAUUCUCAUUGGUGAGAAUCUUUUCCUAAAUUCAGGAUUUUCCUUGGGGAAUGUAUGCUUUUAGAUCUAAAAUUAUUGGUGGUGGGUGUGCCAUCUGCCAGGGUACUGCCUGCCUUUUUGAGGCUGGAGUGGGACCAGUCAGUGAGGAGCCAUAGUUUUUAUCCAGGGAACAGGACUGCCUGUGUUAGAAGAAAGGGCGGCAGCUGGAGACAGGAGAGGGUGACCACAGAGCACAGGAGAACCUGCCUGCCCUGAGUGCCUCUGCCCUUGAGACUUGCCCUGCAGGCUCUAUCUGCAGCCUCACUUACAGGCCUGCCCCAGAGGCUGACAGGAGCACACACCCAGAUUGUAAGCUGAUCUGUAGAGCUGUUGAUUUUCCUGGGUGGUUUGCUCUUUUAUUGCUUUUAUCAUAGUUAUUACACUCCCAGGCCUAAAUACUUAGAGAAAAUGUAUUUCCCUUCCUGGAACCCAGAAAGAAAGGAACAAAGCCCUUUCCGUGGUAACUUGCCUGCACAUCCCCGUGGUAGUCUUGUUCCUUCUUAAAGCUCUUGGGAACUUGUGUCCGCUCCUUAGAUAGUGCCUCAUGGUUUUGGAAACACGCGUGUCCCUCCCACAUCACCAGACAAAGCCCAUCAUAAUCUUUGAGCUCCUCAGGUGGGGUCCUUUAUAACUUUUUCACGUGACCUUGCCACCAGCUCUAUUUCAUUUCAGCCCCUGCCUUGGCAUGUGUCUCUCUGUGUUGGCACAUGAAGAGUCUCAGGGUGACAACUGUGACUUACUUUUGUACAUUGUUUCUCUACCAUGGAGCUAAUUACAUAUUAAUUACACAGUUACUAAAUUGAAUUCU
rnacentral:lncRNA from 1 species